rnacentral:tRNA from 1 species
GCGGUCUGGGCGGCGUUCAUGGCGCCUCCUGCGCUUCGAGCGCGGCGGCAGGCUGGCGGUAAUCGCCGAGCAGCUCGGCGGGGUCGCGC